ACCACGCGAGAGCGAUACGAUCCUGGCUGUUACUAUUUUCGUGUCUCUUACCGGCACGGCGGUCACGCCGCCGCAAAUACUCGCCGUUUCUACUAGCGCUCGGACUCCGCUUUCUGGCCGCAGCCGCCGAAUCGCAGAGGCUGCAAUCCGCUCUCCACGUCGUCGGCAGAUGAUUGCUCCAAAACACACAUCCACGUCGUCGACGCACGCUCUUUGCGAUUUGCAUUGGCUGAAAGUGAAAAGAAUGCAUCGCGAGAACGAACGUUAAAGAAACCGGGGCAGGAUUUCAAUUUUAGCGAUGAAAUAGGAACCGCUAUGAAAGAACGUGGGCUGAGACGUUGGUGAGGUGCGGGGCUGAAUCGUGUGCAAAAGAAAAGAGCCUUAUCAGCGUCGUCAGUGCGCCUCAGGCUGGAAAGCUUUAAGCUCGGAAGCGUGCGAUCUGUAUCGAAUCGCGGAGGUGCCUCCUUAUAUGGAGAGAGACGUAUGUGGGAGACAGCGACGAUGCGGUAUAAAGUUCCUCACAAAAGCGAAUAUGAUCUUGCAGCGAAUCAUUUUGUGAUCACCUUGGAGACAUAAUGCAAAAUCAUUCGCGCAAUUCAGGGAAUUAUGUCUCAUCAUAUCUGUGGAACAAUGGGUCGUUUGAACGGUCUGUCCUUUCCUCCAAAUCUCAGCUGCCCUGAUUCUUUCUUGCCACCGAAACCACCUCCUGAG
rnacentral:lncRNA from 1 species